CGGCGGACGGGUGAGUAACACGUGGAUAACCUACCUAUAAGACUGGGAUAACUUCGGGAAACCGGAGCUAAUACCGGAUAAUAUUUUGAACCGCAUGGUUCAAAAGUGAAAGACGGUCUUGCUGUCACUUAUAGAUGGAUCCGCGCUGCAUUAGCUAGUUGGUAAGGUAACGGCUUACCAAGGCAACGAUGCAUAGCCGACCUGAGAGGGUGAUCGGCCACACUGGAACUGAGACACGGUCCAGACUCCUACGGGAGGCAGCAGUAGGGAAUCUUCCGCAAUGGGCGAAAGCCUGACGGAGCAACGCCGCGUGAGUGAUGAAGGUCUUCGGAUCGUAAAACUCUGUUAUUAGGGAAGAACAUAUGUAUAAGUAACUGUGCACAUCUUGACGGUACCUAAUCAGAAAGCCACGGCUAACUACGUGCCAGCAGCCGCGGUAAUACGUAGGUGGCAAGCGUUAUCCGGAAUUAUUGGGCGUAAAGCGCGCGUAGGCGGUUUUUUAAGUCUGAUGUGAAAGCCCACGGCUCAACCGUGGAGGGUCAUUGGAAACUGGAAUACUUGAGUGCAGAAGAGGAAAGUGGAAUUCCAUGUG
rnacentral:rRNA from 1 species